GAUGAACGCUAGCGGCAGGCUUAACACAUGCAAGUCGAGGGGUAACAGGAAUAGCUUGCUAUUCGCUGACGACCGGCGCACGGGUGCGUAACGCGUAUAGGACCUACCUUUUACUGAGGAAUAGCCUUUAGAAAUGAAGAUUAAUGCCUCAUAGUAUCUACGUAUUGCAUAAUACUAAGAUUAAAGAUUUAUUGGUAAAAGAUGGCUAUGCGUUCUAUUAGCUAGAUGGUAAGGUAACGGCUUACCAUGGCAACGAUAGAUAGGGGUCCUGAGAGGGAGAUCCCCCACACUGGUACUGAGACACGGACCAG
rnacentral:rRNA from 1 species